rnacentral:lncRNA from 1 species
GUCCUUCUCCAUCCCUGCAGGGUGCAUCGCUGAGACCCACAAAGCUUCCCAAGUCUGCAGGAUGAGUUUAUCAGAAUGCCAGCAGGAAGGCGUUUGAUGGCGGCUCUGAGACUCAGUAAAAAAGCCAUACCUGGGUUCUGGCAAUAAAGCCAUACUGCGGAUUUCUCUCUGAGGGUCUCCUAACUUCUGGUUGCCUUUUCAACUGUUCACAGCUGGGGCGAGACGGGAGGAGAUGCAUGUAAAAGAAAUUACCAUCAAAGCCACUGAACUCCCACGCUUCCCGCUGAAGGGAUGCCAGUGUCUGACUGACAGAAACGGGCCAGCAGUGGCUCAGAUCCGCUGGGAAGGAAAUGAAAAUACAAGAAACACUACAGGACCGUCAUAUCCUCAGCCACUGUCCACACAAGGAAAAGCCCACGUGCAUAUAGAUUAUGCAAAGGAAGACUACACAAUUUAAAAGAAGAAAAGAUUUACUUUUCCAACUGAAAAUGGUAAUGGACAUUUUCUUAAAAUUCGGGUUGGCUGGGGCUGGGGAUU